UAACUCCGCCCGGCGACCGGCGCACGGGUGCGUAACGCGUAUGCAACCUACCUUUAACAGGGGCAUAACACUGAGAAAUUGGUACUAAUUCCCCAUAACAUUCGAGAAGGCAUCUUCUUGGGUUAAAAACUCCGGUGGUUAAAGAUGGGCAUGCGUUGUAUUAGCUAGUUGGUGAGGUAACGGCUCACCAAGGCAACGAUACAUAGGGGGACUGAGAGGUUAACCCCCCACAUUGGACUGAGACACGGCCAA
rnacentral:rRNA from 1 species